CGGGGCCGGGCGAGGCGGGAGGGGCGGCUCCCGGCUCCCGGAGACCCGGAGUCCGCGGUGCGGCGGUCCUGUCUCCUGCUGGCUUGGGGAGACGGGGGACUCCGCGGAGGCCCCCUCCCCGGUCCCUGGGGAGUUCCGGGGGGUGCGGUCUCGUCCCCUCUCCCGGGUUCCCUGCGCAGCCCCCCAAACGCCUCUCCUCCAACCCCCUCCGUGCUCUAACGACCGCUUCCCGCCUGGGCUCGGCCGCUCCCUGGCUGUACUGGGAAUGGACACCUUUGUUCAGAGGAAAGGAGAGGCAAAGCGCGGGGUGCGGAGGAGCUUCCUACGGCACGUGUGCUGCAGCCGACUGCUUGCUACCACUGAAAGCCCUAAAAGGUUCACCACUGCUGUCCUAGAGUGUUG
rnacentral:lncRNA from 1 species